GGAUGUGAGGGCCAUCUGGCUACGACAUCUGUCAACCCAUUGAUUGCCAGGGUUGAUUUGGCUGAUCUGGCUGGCUAGGCGGGUGUCUCCCUCCUCCCUCACAGAUUCAUGUGCUCCCUCCCGAAGCUGCACUCAGUGAAAGAGGACGACCUUCCCCCCAGAAGAGAGGACCAGUCUUUGGUCAAGGGUAUAGGAGUAGCUGUUCUCCCCACAUAAGCUCUCAAGACACCUGAUAAACACAGCAAACACCAUGGGAUUCCUU
rnacentral:snRNA from 1 species